UACGUAGGGGCAAGCGUUAUCCGGAUUUACUGGGUGUAAAGGGAGCGCAGACGGAACUGCAAGUCUGAUGUGAAAGCCCGGGGCUCAACCGCGGGACUGCAUCGGAUACUGUAGAUCUGGAGUGCCGGAGGGGCAAGCGGAAUUCCCAGUGUAGCGGUAAAAUGCGUAGAUAUUGGGAGGAACACCAGUGGCGAAGGCGGCUUUCUGGACGACGACUGACGCUGAGGCGCGAAAGCGUGGGGAGCAAACAGGAUUAGAUACCCGCGUAGU
rnacentral:rRNA from 1 species